AUGGAGACGCCGCUCCCCAAAGCACCAGAGAAAAGGCAAGUGACCGCCAUUAUUUUCUUAUUACUACUGUGGGAGGCGGGCAGCGCUACGAUUAAGUAUUCAGUUCUAGAAGAGAGGGACAGCGGCUCUUUUGUGGCCAACUUAGCAAAAGAUCUGGGGCUGGGUGUAGGGGAACUGGCCGCGAGAGGCGCCCGGAUUCUUUCCAAAGGGAACAAACAGUAUUUGCAGCUCGAACGGAAGAGUGGGAAUUUGCUCCUAAAAGAAAAAUUGGACCGGGAAGAGUUGUGCGGUGACAUAGAUCCAUGUAUACUACAUUUCCAGAUGUUACUGAAAAAUCCGGUGCAGUUUAUUCAAGGUGAACUACAGCUCCAAGAUGUAAAUGACCAUGCCCCAGAAUUCUUGGAAAAUGAAAUCCUCCUGAAAAUCUCCGAAGGCAGCCAUCCAGGGACUUCAUUUCCUUUGAAAAUAGCUCAAGAUUUGGACGUAGGUAGCAACACAGUUCAGAACUACUCAAUUAGCACCAACUCCUAUUUCCACCUUUUCACUCGCAAUCACAGCGACGGCAAGAAAUACCCAGAGCUCGUGCUGGAUCAAGCGCUGGACCGCGAGGAGCAGCCCCAGCUCAGGUUAACCCUCACAGCGCUGGAUGGUGGGUCACCGCCCAGAACUGGGACUUCCCAGGUUCUCAUAGUGAUUGUAGAUAUCAAUGACAACGUCCCUGAAUUUGCUCAGCGGCGCUACGAGGUGCAGGUCCCAGAGAACACCCCUAUAGGUUCCCUUGUCAUCACCGUCUCUGCCAGGGAUUUAGAUGCUGGGACCCACGGGGAGCUCUCCUAUUCAUUUUUUCAAUACUCCAAUCAAAUCAUUCAGGCCUUUGAAAUAAACUCAAUCACGGGAGAAAUUAGAUUUAAAAAGGCGUUGGAUUUUGAGGAAAUUCAAUCUUAUCACAUGGAAGUUGAGGCCUCAGACGGUGGGGGUCUUUCAGGAAAAUGCACCGUAGCCAUAGAGGUAAUGGAUAUAAACGACAACGCACCGGAACUUACUAUGUCCUUACUUAUCAGUGAUAUCCUAGAAAACUCCCCAGAAACAGUGGUCGCUGUUUUCGGAAUUUCGGAUCCGGACUCCGGGAACAAUGGAAAAAUGAUGUGUUCCAUCCAAGACCAUCUCCCUUUCCUUCUAAAACCUACCUUAGAAAAUUUCUACACUUUGUUAACAGAAGGAGCGCUAGACAGAGAGAGCAGGGCCGAGUACAACAUCACCAUUACUGUCACAGACUUGGGGACACCCAGGCUGAAAACCGAGUACAACAUAACCCUGCGGGUCUCCGACGUCAAUGACAACGCCCCCGCCUUCACCCAAACCUCCUACACCCUGUUCGUCCGCGAGAACAACAGCCCCGCCCUGCACAUCGGCAGUGUCAGCGCCACAGACAGAGACUCAGGCACCAACGCUCAGGUCACCUACUCGCUGCUGCCGCCCCAGAACCCGCACCUGCCCCUCGCCUCCCUGGUCUCCAUCAACACAGACAACGGCCACCUGUUUGCCCUCAGGUCGCUGGACUACGAGGCCCUGCAGGAGUUCGAGUUCCGCGUGGGCGCCUCAGACCGCGGUUCUCCGGCUUUGAGCAGCGAGGCGCUGGUGCGCGUGCUGGUGUGCUGGACGCCAACGACAACUCGCCCUUCGUGCUGUACCCGCUGCAGAACGGCUCCGCGCCCUGCACCGAGCUGGUGCCCCGGGCGGCCGAGCCGGGCUACCUGGUGACCAAGGUGGUGGCGGUGGACGGUGACUCGGGCCAGAACGCCUGGCUGUCGUACCAGCUGCUCAAGGCCACGGAGCCCGGGCUAUUCGGCGUGUGGGCGCACAAUGGCGAGGUGCGCACCGCCAGGCUGCUGAGCGAGCGCGACGCGGCCAAGCACAGGCUGGUGGUGCUGGUCAAGGACAAUGGCGAGCCUCCGCGCUCGGCCACCGCCACGCUGCACGUGCUCCUGGUGGACGGCUUCUCCCAGCCCUACCUGCCUCUCCCUGAGGCGGCCCCGGCCCAGGCCCAGGCCGACUCGCUCACCGUCUACCUGGUGGUGGCGUUGGCUUCGGUGUCUUCGCUCUUCCUCUUCUCGGUGCUCCUGUUCGUGGCGGUGCGGCUGUGCAGAAGGAGCAGGGCGGCCUCGGUGGGUCGCUACUCGGUGCCCGAGGGCCCCUUUCCAGGGCAUCUGGUGGACGUGAGUGGCACCAGGACCCUGUCCCAGAAUUAUCAGUAUGAAGUUUACCUGGCAGAAAGCUCUGAGAGCCAGUUAAAGUUUCUUAAACCGGUACUUCCCAACUUCUUGGGUGAAGGGACUGGUGGGGACAGCGAGGCAAACUCCAACUCUAGGAAUCAUUUUGGGUUCAAUUAGGAAUCUGACAACAGGUCGUGA